AGAAGUAAACAAAAGUUAGGCUUCUUCAAAAAAAGGAAACAGUCAUAAAUUGUAGUCAAGUGGAAGCUGGAGAAACCUGAAGAGCUCUGGUCCAGUUAAUUCCUUGGGUAUAGAAGGCCUCGAUGAAAUCCAGUGCUCCCUGCCCCCCGAGAACAGGAGGGUGUUCCUGCGCCAGCUGUCGGAGGCCAGCUUCAGCGAGUGCAGGUUCAGCCUCUCGCUCACAGACCUGUUCAUCAUCAUCUUCUCGGGCGUGGCCGUGUCCAUCGCCGCCAUCAUCUCCAGCUUCUUCCUGGCCACCGUGGUGCAGUGCUUCCAGAGGUGCACCCCCAACAAGGACGCCGAGGAGGAGGACGAGGAUGAGGACGACUGAGCCCCCCUCCCGUUCCUCGCUUUCCAGAACCCACGCUCCUGGCUCCCCUCGGAGGAGAGAGGGAAAUGCUGAGACCUACACGGUCAGUGCCCUGAGCCGCCCAGAGUGGCGCCUGCUCCACGCUUGGGACCCGGGGCGCACCGGGUGGGACCUCCGACCUCAGAGCGUAGAAUACGCAGCUUGAGGAGCUCAGGAAGGCUUCCUGGAGGAGGGGCUGCCGCUCAGCGUGGGGAGAUGAUGGAGUCAGGCUUCACAGCCGCCGGUGGGAAUCCAGCCAGGGGACACGAGACGUGCAGCGCUCGCCCACAACGAUGACUUUGUGACAUCCACGGCUCUGGCCUGGCCUGGGCCGCCAUGCUGCACCUCCUUCCUCCCAGGAGGCAGCUGCUCAGACGGUGGGGGUCAGGGUUCAGGUCCCUCUACCCCGUUUGGCUAACAUGGCACCGAGGAGAAAGCCAAGAACUGGCCGGAGGGUGUUUGUUGUUCCAUUUUGGUUAGGAAAACUUUUGUGGACAGAAACCAAACCUUGAGCCUUAUCCCCGCGAGGCAGCGACCCACAGAGCAAGGACGGUCGCUUUGAACAGUCGUGGUGGGCUCUUCCCUCUGUCGUUGUUUCCCCUCCUCGUCCCCAGACCUGUUCCUGAGUCACUCCCCAGCGUUCCCCCUGCUGGCACUGCUCCAGACUCGCCAGCUCCAGAAUUUGCUCAGAAACCUUCCGGGAGGCCAGGCUUCCAGAAAGCAGGAGGCAUCGGACCCACAACAUGGUAAAGACAUGAAACGAACGAACUGGGACUCGGCCUCUGAAACCCUCCCCCCGCGGCCUCAGGCUGUGUGUGACGUGAUUUUGGAGCCCAGGCCGUGACAGGCAGUGAUUCCCAGCGCGGGGAAUGCAGCCCUUUGGUUCUGAGGUAGCACGACACCAGCAGUGUCAUGGGCCCAGCGGGGUAAUGCGAGGCGACACACGAUAGCAGCUCUGGGCCUUGUGGGGACUGACAGGGGGGGCUCACGAGAAGCUCUGGGAUGUUUCUGGGCAUCACGCCCCCAUUGUUUCUCACAAUACACUCCUUACGUGACUCCUC